rnacentral:rRNA from 1 species
CUACGGGCGGCAGCAGUGAGGAAUUUUGCGCAAUGGGCGAAAGCCUGACGCAGCAACGCCGCGUGAGUGAUGAAGGCUUUCGGGUCGUAAAGCUCUGUCAAGUGGGAAGAACCUAUAUAAUGUUAAUACCAUUAUAUACUGACGGUACCACUGAAGGAAGCACCGGCUAACUCCGUGCCAGCAGCCGCGGUAAUACGGGGGGUGCAAGCGUUAUUCGGAAUCAUUGGGCGUAAAGAGCACGUAGGCGGCCUGGUAAGUCAGAUGUGAAAGCCCGGGGCUUAACCCCGGAAGUGCAUUUGAUCCUGCCCGGCUUGAGUAUGGGAGAGGGAAGUGGAAUUCCUGGUGUAGAGGUGAAAUUCGUAGAUAUCAGGAGGAACACCGGUGGCGAAGGCGACUUCCUGGACCAAUACUGACGCUGAGGUGCGAAGGCGUGGGUAGCAAACAGGAUUAGAUACCCCAGUAGUC